rnacentral:tRNA from 1 species
GCCUUUAUGGUGUAGUGGUCAACACGCUUGGCGUAUAUUCUAGAGGUCCGUGGUUCGAGUCCCGGCGAGGGUU